rnacentral:rRNA from 1 species
AACGAACGCUGGCGGCAGGCUUAACACAUGCAAGUCGAGCGCGUAGCAAUACGAGCGGCAGACGGGUGAGUAACGCGUGGGAAUCUACCCAACCCUACGGAAUAACCCAGGGAAACUUGGACUAAUACCGUAUACGCCCUUUGGGGGAAAGAUUUAUCGGGGAUGGAUGAGCCCGCGUUGGAUUAGCUAGUUGGUGGGGUAAAGGCCUACCAAGGCGACGAUCCAUAGCUGGUCUGAGAGGAUGAUCGGCCACAUUGGGACUGAGACACGGCCCAAACUCCUACGGGAGGCAGCAGUGGGGAAUAUUGGACAAUGGGCGCAAGCCUGAUCCAGCCAUGCCGCGUGAGUGAUGAAGGCCCUAGGGUUGUAAAGCUCUUUCACCGGAGAAGAUAAUGACGGUAUCCGGAGAAGAAGCCCCGGCUAACUUCGUGCCAGCCGCCGCAGUAACAC